AGCUGGGUUGGUUGCGUAGGUGCAAGGAUAGAGUGCUCGCCGUGGAGAGGAAUUGUGGCGACUGUUUCCUGUUCUAGGGUCUCGCGGGUAUCGGAGACAGGCUCAUGAUCAAUAUUCAAAGCCCUGCGGGCUGCGGCCAUAUUUCGUAUAGGGGUGUCGGGAAUGCGGUCCUCCAUGCUCGCUAAUUACCUCAGUGUCAAGAGGCUAGUGCAGCGUGCUGUAGACUACUGCCAUAAUGCUCUGAGCAUUCUGUAUUUGAUCGUUGAGGGAAGGGCCAAAGAGGCAGACGGGCGCAAGUAUGCUUCACACAGAGCAAGUAUCGGAAAUGAAAAAGGUAGCAACAGAUUUAUUUCGUUGCAAAGCAUGGACUA
rnacentral:snoRNA from 1 species